CCUACGGGUGGCAGCAGUGAGGAAUCUUGGUCAAUGGACGAGAGUCUGAACCAGCCAAGUAGCGUGAAGGAUGACUGCCCUAUGGGUUGUAAACUUCUUUUAUAUGGGAAUAAAAUGUUCCACGUGUGGGAUUUUGUAUGUACCAUAUGAAUAAGGAUCGGCUAACUACGUACCAGCAGCCGCGGUAAUACGGAGGAUCCGAGCGUUAGCCGGAUUUAUUGGGUGUAAAGGGAGCGUAGGUGGAUUGGUAAGUCAGUUGUGAAAGUUUGCGGCUCAACCGUAAAAUUGCAGUUGAAACUGGCAGUCUUGAGUACAGUAGAGGUGGGCGGAAUUCGUGGUGUAGCGGUGAAAUGCUUAGAUAUCACGAAGAACUCCGAUUGCGAAGGCAGUUCACUGGACUGCAACUGACACUGAGGCUCGAAAGUGUGGGUAUCAAACAGGAUUAGAUACCCCUGUAGUC
rnacentral:rRNA from 1 species